rnacentral:RNase_P_RNA from 2 species
UUAGCAGGUCGCCUUAUCGAUCUUGCGCAAGCAAGGUAGGAAAGUCCGGACUCCAUAGGAUAACAUAGCGGCUAACGGCCGUCGUUUUGUUUUCGCUCAAGCGAAAGCGAGAUAGGACUAGUGCAACAGAAAGUAUGUACAGAUAAUGCUGUAGUGAAACCAGGUAAACUCUAUGUGGUGAAAUGUCGCGUAAAUCAGAGCUUGAGCGCUAUCCGCGCGAUUCUGAAGGGUAGGCAGUUUGAGAUAAUGAGCAAUCAUUAUUCUAGAUAAAUGAUAAGGAAGUUUUGUGCUUUUUAAGGAGAGAUCCUGAAACGAGUUCAGGACGAACAGAAUCCGGCUUAUAGACCUGCUAUUUUU